GCCGCCGCCCAGCUCAUUUUCCCUCCUUUGUAACCGAGAGAAGCGCGGCCGGCGGCCGGCGGUGGGGGCGGCGCGGGCGGAGGCGGGGCGGGGGCGGGGGCGGGCCGGGGACGGGGUGCGGGCGCCCGGGCUGGGGGGCGGUCGCCGAGCGCGCGGGGCGCGGGCGGGGAGAAGUUCUCAGCCCCGAGUUUCGGGCGCUCGGGAGAGAAAGCCGCGGCGCGGAUCCGCCAGCCGCCCCGCCCUCAACCCCCUCCCGCCGCCGCCUCGGCCCCGCCUUCCCCCUGGCGCAGGCCCCCGGGGCGCGGGACCCCGGCGCGACCUCGGCCCCCGGCCCGGACCCCACGUUCCCUGCCGCCCUCCCCGGCCCGCUCGCGGCCCCCCCCCCACGGCGGCCGGCCCUGCCCGCGCGGUCCAAGACCCCGGCCGGCGGAGGAACGCGAUCGGGCGAGGCUGGGAGCCGGCUGCCGCCGGGAACCCCGUCUCGCGCUGUGGGGAGGCCCCGAAAGGAAAGGGGAUGAAUUCAGAAUGUAUUGCUGCCACUGAGAAGUUACGUGUUGUCCUCAGAAGCAAAGAUGACUCUCCAGCAUCUGUAUGGCAUAUGUAUUUUCAGAGGGAGAAUGGAUCUGUGCCAGUUGUCUCUGGCCUGAAUUAAAGGAGAAGAAGGGGACAACAGAGGACAAGAUGGUUGGAUGGCACCACCAAUUCAAUGGACAUGAGUCUGAGCAAACUCCGGGAGCGGCCUGGCCCACUCCAGUCCAUGGGGUUGCAAAGAGUCGGACAUGUCUGAGCGACUGAACAACAGCAACAAAUAAGAAC
ensembl:lncRNA